UAACCUACGGGAGGCAGCAGUGGGGGAUAUUGCACAAUGGGGGGAACCCUGAUGCAGCGACGCCGCGUGGGUGAAGGAGUAUUUCGGUAUGUAAAGCCCUAUCGGCAGGGACGAAGCAAGUGACGGUACCUGACGAAUAAGCCACGGCUAACUACGUGCCAGCAGCCGCGGUAAUACGUAGGUGGCAAGCGUUAUCCGGAUUUAUUGGGUGUAAAGGGCGUGUAGGCGGGAAUGCAAGUCAGAUGUGAAAACUAUGGGCUCAACCCAUAGCCUGCAGUUGAAACUGUA
rnacentral:rRNA from 1 species